rnacentral:rRNA from 1 species
GCCCGUUAACGACGCUCAUGCUCGAAGGCGCGGGUAUCAAACAGGAUUAGAUACCCUGGUAGUCCGCGCGGUAAACGAUGGACACUCGGGAUUUGCCCUAUUGGGUGAGUCCCCCAGCGAAAGCGUUAAGUGUCCCACCUGGGGAGUACGCCGGCAGCGGUGAAACUCAAAGGAAUUGACGGGGGCCCGCACAAGCGGAGGAACAUGUGGUUUAAUUCGAUGAUACGCGAGGAACCUUACCCGGGCUUGAAAUGUGCAUGACGACCCCGAGAGACCGGGGUCUCCUUCGGGCAUGCAUGUAGGUGCUGCAUGGUUGUCGUCAGCUCGUGCCGUGAGGUGUCGGCUCAAGUGCCAUAACGAGCGCAACCCCUUCCGCCGGUUACCAUCGGGUUAUGCCGGGGACUCCGGCGGCACUGCCGCCGCAAGGCGUGAGGAAGGCGGGGAUGACGUCAAAUCAGCACGGCCCUCACGUCCGGGGCCACACACGUGUUACAAUGGGGGGCACAGCGAGCAGGACCAGGGCGACCUGGUUCGAAUCAAUAAAUCCCCUCCCAGUUCGGACUGGAGUCUGCAACCCGACUCCACGAAGCCGGAUUCGCUA